rnacentral:rRNA from 1 species
UACGAAGGGAGCUAGCGUUGUUCGGAAUCACUGGGCGUAAAGCGCGCGUAGGCGGCUUUGCAAGUCGGGUGUGAAAUCCCCAGGCUUAACCUGGGAACUGCAUUCGAGACUGCAUUGCUAGAGUAUGGGAGAGGGAAGUGGAAUUUCCGGUGUAGCGGUGAAAUGCGUAGAUAUCGGAAGGAACACCUGUGGCGAAAGCGGCUCACUGGACCAUAACUGACGCUGAGGCGCGAAAGCUAGGGGAGCAAACAGG